UACGUAGGGUGCAAGCGUUGUCCGGAAUUAUUGGGCGUAAAGAGCUCGUAGGCGGUCUGUCGCGUCUGCUGUGAAAACUCGGGGCUUAACCCCGGGCCUGCAGUGGGUACGGGCAGACUAGAGUGCGGUAGGGGAGACUGGAAUUCCUGGUGUAGCGGUGGAAUGCGCAGAUAUCAGGAGGAACACCGGUGGCGAAGGCGGAUCUCUGGGCCGUAACUGACGCUGAGGAGCGAAAGCAUGGGUAGCGAACAGG
rnacentral:rRNA from 1 species